CGCAGCCGCGGUAAUUCCAGCUCCAAUAGCGUAUAUUAAAGUUGUUGCAGUUAAAAAGCUCGUAGUUGAAUUUCGGGGUUAGUAGGUUGGUCAUGCCUCUGGUAUGUACUGGUCUCACUGAUUCCUCCUUCCUGAUGAGCCGUAAUGCCAUUAAUUUGGUGUUGCGGGGAAUUUGGACUGUUACUUUGAAAAAAUUAGAGUGUUUAAAGCAAGCUAACGCUUGAAUACAUUAGCAUGGAAUAAUGAAAUAGGACGUUCGAUCCUAUUUUGUUGGUUUCUAGGAUUGACGUAAUGAUUAAUAGGGAUAGUUGGGGGCAUUAGUAUUCAAUUGUCAGAGGUGAAAUUCUUGGAUUUAUUGAAGACUAACUACUGCGAAAGCAUUUGCCAAGGAUGUUUUCAUUAAUCAAGAACGAAAGUUAGGGGAUCGAAGACGAUCAGAUACCGUCGUAGUCUUAACCAUAAACUAUGCCGACUAGGGAUCGGAUGAUGUUAAUUUUUAAUGACUCAUUCGGCGCCUUAC
rnacentral:misc_RNA from 1 species